rnacentral:tRNA from 1 species
UCCCCGGUAGUUCAGUGGUUAGGACUCUGAUCUUUCAACUCAGGAGUCAUGGGUUCAAUCCCUGGUUGGGUAG